rnacentral:lncRNA from 1 species
UCUGUCUGUACCAGGAGGCCUUUCGUGCCGGACUUCGGCUCCCACUACCGCUCUUGGUUGUUGCUCUCUUUCAUUUUCUGAAUAUUUCUCUAGUUUCCGUCGUGCCGAACUCCUUUAGGUUUUUGAUAGGGUUUCUUUCCCUUUGUAGUUUAGCCAAAGUUUGGCCGACUCUUUCUUUGUUUAGGAACUUCUACACCUUCAAGCGCCAUCCCUCGGCAAAGGAUUAGUGGUACUUCUCCCCCCAGUUCGGUAGAAAGGGGUUACUGAAAGGU